rfam:Myotis davidii contig176605, whole genome shotgun sequence.
CCCUGCUCUAGGGUGACACACCCUGGAAUCGGGCUCCCUCUUCUCUGUUUCCGGUUGCAUCACCUGAGAACUUCA